AGAUUAAAAUGACAGGAAAAUUGUUGGAUGACUACCUGCCAUGACCUGCCCAGUUAGGAACUUGAUCAGACCACCCUGUGUGGUCACUUUUGGUCACUGAGCUUAUCAGGCCUGCCUUGUGGCCCCAUGAGCUUGUCAGGAUUAUUGUAUAGCUCCCUUUUCAUUCACAAUUUUUAGGGUGUAAAUGUUAAAGAUGGGAUCCACUGAAGAAGAAAGACCUGGGUCUUCAGCACCCUGUGUGCUAGCCCAGAAGUGUUAUUUGAAAGCCUCUGUUACAUCUGGUGCAGACCCCCUAAACAAGUGGACUUGCAUUUGGACAUUCUCAGCAGGAAUGGUUAUAGGCUGAUAGGACCAUAAAGGAGAUGAUGCUAGAUAGUUGAUAGAUCCUAUAGUUCAACUUCAUCCUAGUUAGAAGCUGGAUUCAUCUGACAUCAGAGAAAUGAAAUUUCAGGAGACCAAAACUAGAUCUGAGUUUCUUUAUAGAAACUUCUUUCCCAGCCUUGAAACUUGGAUGCUAUGAGUCCUGGACAUGCAAUAGAUGAUGACAACAUUUUCCUGUUAUGUGUUUCUUGGUUCUUCUCCAGUCUUUUGUAACAGAACAACCGGUUGCUAUGAUGUGUGCUGACCAUCAGCAGUAUGAAGGCGUAGAUGGAAGCUGACUUUUCUCACCAAAAAUGGCUUAUAGAAUCAACUUGAAAAACAUGAGGCAGCAAACAAAGGAAAGAGUAAAAUAUUUAUUUUAUCAUCCUUAAAUUCUUUGCUAGAUUGUAAACUUCAUGAAAGCAGGAUAACUUCCCUAUCCUUAACACCUGGUCUAUAAUAAAUACUCAAAAAAAUAAUUUUGAAGUGAAUCAAUUUUCAUUAAUUUUAUUAUUUUUUAAUGCCUGGAAAAUGGCAACCAUUUUAAUGGGAUUUCAGCAAGACAUUUAAAUAGAAAAACUGGGAAUUAAUUUUGACUCUAAUGUAAACUGUAUAUAUAGGUGCAUUAAACUCUCUGGGUACUAGUGAGUCUACUUAAAAAUCUUUUUUUUGAAAUAAAAAUUACUUAUUGAUUUUUAUUUAUUUAUUUUAUAUUUUUAUUUAUUUCAGAGAGGAAAGGAGAGGGAGAGAGAGAUAGAAACAUCAAUGAUGAGAGAGAAUCAUUGAUUGGCUGCCUCCUGCACACCCCCUACUGGGGAUUGAGCCCACAACCUGGGCAUGUGCCCCUGGCUGGAACUGAACCUGGGACCCUUAAGUUCGCAGGCCAACGCUCUAUCCACUGAGCCAAACUGGCUAGGGCACUUACUGAUUUUUAGAGAGGGAGGAAGGGGAGAAAGAGAAACAUCGAUUUGCUCUUCCACUUACAUAUGCACUCAUUGGUUGAUUCCUGUAUGUGCCUUGACUGGGUAUCAAACCCAUAACCUUGGCAUAUGAGAAUGACCCUCUAACCCAGCCAGAACCUAAAACUUAAUAUCUGAUUAUGAUGUUUGAUCCUUUAAGAGGCAAUAAAGAAUGGUUGUGAAAACUAUGUAUGUGAGGAAUAGAUAUGCAAAAGCUUACUGAUAUUUAAUGGGCAAUCU